rnacentral:tRNA from 1 species
GUGGACGUUUCGGAGUGGUUAUCGGACACGACUAGAAAUCAUGUGGGCUUUGCCCGCGCAGGUUCGAAUCCUGCCGUCCACG